GCGGUAUUGGUGUAAUAGUAGCACUCAUCCCUGUGGAGGAUGCAGAAAGGGUGCAAAUCCCUUAUAUCGCCCCA
rnacentral:tRNA from 2 species